CUCAUUUUAGGAUGGCUCCCCUAAAUUUUACUCUUGGCUUUUAAUGAAUUACAGAAUUUUAGAUAAUUCGUUUUACCAUAUUAAUUCUUGGAGAACAGGCAUCUUAAAUAUUAUUGCACACUUGAUGUAUUUUUUAAUGAGAUUUUUUAUAUUUAUAUGUAUUAUUUAAGAAUAUGGGGCCUGGAUUUUCUCAUAUUAAUGUAGGUGGGUGUGACAGUGUGUAACGCUGGCGGUGGGUUAGACCACUCCUUUGGUAAAUCUCAUGGUUUGUUGUGUGUCCCUGGUCUCCUCUGAUAAAUUAAGCACUGCGACUGAAGGGUACCUUAGUUUGUACAACUAAUACACUUAAGUAUCUGCUUCCUUUCUCAGUUAACACAAUCAAAACAGCCAAAUACCACCUAUCUUAUGUAAUUUAAUCGUAGAUGGUGGUUUACCAUGGAAUACCUGUAACUUUUUGUGUAAAGAAAUGUUUUGUGUAUAUAUACGAUUUUAUUUAAGGGGAAUAUGUUUUAUUUCAUGCUACUAGUGGCUUAUACAGAGUGUGUGUUCAGGAAAGUGGAUACCCUGACAUCUAAUGUCAGAACUAGCCUGACUGGUUUUUUUUUUUGUACAGUUUUUGCAUAUGUUCGAUUUUGUGUACAUCAUCUCCGUUCUGUUUGAAUUGAGCUGCUUUUAAGGACAUCGGAGGACUUGGUUCUUGUUGCUGUUCCUCAGUGCAGCACCAACACGCAGCUUUGAUCUGCUAGAUGGCUUUUCCUUUUCUUCCGCUCCUGCCUGCAUCUGCCUGGUGGUUUUUCAUGCACCUGAGUUCAGGGCUUUAACAAAUGAAUGUGUCACCAUAGUGAUAAUCAGCACUGUUUACAAUGGAGACACCUGCACUUUGUAAAGGAUUAAUUAUCUGUCUAAAAAGCCCGGUCUGGAUAGAGCGUUUAAAAUGCAAACAUUAAUAGCAGAAUAAAAAAACUAUAAUUUCAAGGUUAAAAAUUUUAAUUAUGAAAGCAGAUAAUGAUCUAACAUAAGUACAUUAAUGGUGGAAUUUGUCGUUUAACAUUAUUCAUUGUCAGUCAUCAUCAGCAUCGUAUGAGUCAUUCUUGCUUGUCAGUAGGAAUAGGGUCUAUUGAGUUUGUGAACUCAUUACAUCUUCAUUGUUUUGGCACUUUAGCCUGUGGUUUGUAGUAUGACUCAAGGGAGAGUCCCAUACUUUUAUGCAUCUUCUAAUAAAGGUGUUAAUGUUGUGAUUGAUCACAAUAUAGACUUUCUAGUGGGGCGUUUGAAUUUGAACAGUGACUGUGUGGAGAGUGUGCUCAGAUUUACUUGCAUCCCCAAGAUCAGAAGCUCAUCUUCUGUUUGCACAUUAGUCCAGAAGCUUAGCACUCCGCAAGUGAGAGGGGUCAUGGCACCUGCACGGUGCUUGACAUUAAAUACAGAGCACGGCUGUGUUUGCCAGUAAGCAUUUAUUUUUCCCUAAGCAGGUGUGGCUCUAUUAAUCUAUGCUGAAUUGGCAUGUACUCAUGAAGCUGAAAAGCCCCAUUUAUAUGCAGACGUCAGUUGGGGCAGACUCUUCAGUUACUGUGAUUCUCAUGUAACCACUGAAGCCUGCGUGUCUUCCACGGUUUACAGAAGCUCAGGGCCUUGUUACAGGAGCCCCGUGUGGGAGUUCUGAUCAUGCCUGUGAGCAGUGGGACGCGUCUGGCUCUUAACCGUCAAAUAGGGUGAUCUCCAGCUGAAGCCUUCCUAAGAUUUCUCAAGUGCGUCUUUCACAGCAUCCACAUUUACAUCCUUGUGACAGCCAUGGCCAUAAACGCUCCAUGUCUGUAAUUUGCAGUGGCAUUAAUGUUUUUGCGAUGCUUCUGAGAUAACUGCUGAAGUGAUUGACAUUUGUAUUGUAUCCUUUUCUAUUAAAAUGCAAUCCGUGCCUUUAAUAUCUGGAAUGUUUUGUAUUCCUUGGAUUUUAACCUUUAAUUUUACAGUUUUUUCAGUCCCGAUUGUAGAUCUUUAACCAUGCUGUUUAUGAUGAUUUUUGGUUAGCAUUUGUUUGUGUGGAUGUGGGGGGGGGGGAUUAAAGUCAGAGUGACACUUGCCCUAAGUUGGUGUUACAACUAUAACAAGCCUAGUAAACAUCUAACAGGCCCUCAGCCUAGAAAAUGGCACUACAGUCUGGAAAUGUAGCUGGCAAAUGGUCCCAACAGGCCAGGGAUGUAGUUGGCAAAUGGUUCCAACAGGCCAGGGAUGUAGUUGGCAAACGGGUCCAACAGGCCAGGGAUGUAGCUGGCAAAUGGUCCUGCCAGGCCAGAGGUGUAGCUGGCAAACGGUCCUGCCAAGCCAGAGGUGUAGCUGGCAAACGGUCCUGCCAGGCCAGAGGUGUAGCUGGCAAACGUUCCUGCCAGGCCGGAGAUGUAGCUGGAAAACGGUCCUGCCAGACCGGAGGUGUAGUUGGCAAGCGGUCCUUCCAGACCGGAGGUGUAGCUGACAACCGGUCCUUCAGACCGGAGGUGUAGCUGGCAAACGGUCCUGCCAGGCCGGAGGUGUAGCUGGCAAACGGUCCUGCCAGGCCGCAGGUGUAGCUGGCAAACGGUCCUUCAGACCGGAGGUGUAGCUGGAAAACGGUCCUGCCAGACCGGAGGUGUAGCUGGCAAGCGGUCCUUCCAGACCGGAGGUGUAGCUGGCAAGCGGUCCUGCCAGGGCGAGAGGUGUAGCUGGCAAACGGUCAUACGGGCGAGAGGUGUAGCUGGCAAACGGUCAUACGGGCCGGAGGCGUAGCUGGCAAGCGGUCAUACGGGCCGGAGGUGUAGCUGGCAAGCGGUCAUACGGGCGGACGAGUGUAGCUGGCAAGCGGUCAUACGGGCCGGAGGUGUAGCUGGCAAGCGGUCAUACGGGCCGGAGGUGUAGCUGGCAAGCGGUCAUACGGGCCGGAGGUGUAGCUGGCAAAUGGUCCUACAGGCCAGGUCCCAACAUAUAACAUCAUGGAUGAGCAUUUUAGAUGAAAGAACUUGACCUGUGAGUUGAAUCCCCUGUCCAUUACUCUAAAUUGCAUCUUCGGGGAAAAAAGUGAUUCACACACUUCUUAAACCUGCGAGCCCCCCACCCCCCCAUACUGAGAGAGCCUGCAAAACCGAUUCCAGCUUGACCUUGAUCUCCUGGCGUCCUGCUUCAGAUGGCAGCAGUUCAUCCAUGAACAAGGUCGCUGUGGGGGGGCCUUGUGUCGAUUAGGCCCCGCAGGGUAGCUGGCAGCCCCGCAACAGGGCACUCGCCUGUCCGAACCGCGCUCCAAGCGUCUGGGCUGACAGCCUGCGGCAUGACAGCGAGUCUCUCACAUUAUUGCCGAUUUUCAGGCUGACUGGGAGUGCUUAUAAAUGGGGGGGCGGCGGGAAGCGACCCAGAGCCUCUGCCUUGAACUUGGUGAAGCUUCCGGAAGAGCUUUGCCUGAUGGGGGAGCCUUAAGCAGGACUGCCGAAAAAAGGUAACAUUAACUCACUUCUAUGAAAAUCUUUUAAAAAAAAAAAAAAUAACAGGGCACUUGUAACCUAAGUAAUAGUUACCAUGGUACCUUUUAGCUAUUCGCAAACCAUAUAUUCUUUAAAGGUUACAAAGCUAAUUUAUCCUCAUAUGUAAUCAGAAGAAUAAGAAUCAGGAUGGUGUCCUGGUGGACUGUCUUCAGGGGGGCAGUACAUAGUACCAGUUUUGGAGUUUUUGGAGCUUAAUUAUUAAGAGAUAUAAAUGUAGACCAUUAAUGCCUAUAUGUUCCUUCUGUCUUCCCCAGGCUAGUGGGUGGAGUUUGCAUGAUCUCCCUGUGCCUGGUAUAUUUCCUCCACAACUCUGUUUUCCCCCUGCUGUCCAAAACACUCUUAGGUUAGAAUGCCGUCUCUAAAUUGUCCAUAGAGUAUGAUUGUGUGUGAGAGUGUGUUCCUGUGGCCUGUGGUGGACUGACAUCCUGAAUGUACCUGGGAUAGACUCUGGGCCUUAACCAAGAUAUUUGGUUUGAUGAUGGGAGAUGUAUACAUAUUACUUUGUAUGAAACUUCCUCUGUAUGCUUAUUAUUUUCUGUCUCUCUUUUGUUGUUAGGUGGAAGUCUUGAAAAGGGCCAGAACUAACUGGUACACAGUGCCGGCACCUCAUAGUUUUUCUCUUCAGGGUACCAUGAAUGUUUCAUGCUUACCGGCACCUCUAAUAAUCUGCCGGUACUGAAUAACGAGGGGGGGGCGAUAGACACCUGCUUUUCUCACUUCAGGCACUGCUAGACGCUCCCUGUACUUGGGACCCCUGCAACAUGAUGCUGUAUUCAUGCUAAUUAAAAGAAAAGAAAAGAGAGAGAGAAAGAAAGAAAGUAGAACUAAGAAAGGACCACAGACACACAUGGAAGAAUAAUUGAAAAGUCAAACGUUGCUAAUUACCAGGCAGAGGCCGGCUUAUCCCUUGUCCUGCCGGCUGAUGUUAAUUUAGAUAAGCCUCGCUACUGUCUGCUUAGUCACCCCCUCGGCCGUUUUGUCAGCGCCGUCCUGCCGACUUGCCGAUGUUACAUGCCAAUCGAUUUGCGA